rnacentral:rRNA from 1 species
UCGAACGCGAAAGGGGCUUCGGCCCUGAGUAGAGUGGCAAACGGGUGAGUAAUACGUGGGUGACCUGCCUUCGAGUGGGGGAUAACGUCCCGAAAGGGACGCUAAUACCGCAUGACAUCCUGCUCUUGGACGAGCGGAGAUCAAAGCUGGGGAUCGCAAGACCUGGCGCUUGAAGAGGGGCCCGCGCCUGAUUAGCUAGUUGGUGGGGUAAUGGCCUACCAAGGCAACGAUCAGUAUCCGGCCUGAGAGGGCGGACGGACACACUGGGACUGAGACACGGCCCAGACUCCUACGGGAGGCAGCAGUGGGGAAUUGUUCGCAAUGGGCGCAAGCCUGACGACGCAACGCCGCGUGGAGGAUGAAGAUCUUCGGGUCGUAAACUCCUGUCGAGCGGGACGAACACCUGUCGGUUGAAUACACCGGCAGGCUGACGGUACCGCUAAAGGAAGCCCCGGCUAACUCCGUGCCAGCAGCCGCGGUAAUACGGGGGGGGCAAGCGUUG